CAAUGAAGAAAGCAUGGUAAUGUGCACAUAAAUUGAAUUGGGUCUCUAGGCCUGCCUUCUUUGAUGUCAUUGGCUUUGAUUUGGGGGUAGGGUUCCGCAACAAAACA